rnacentral:rRNA from 1 species
UUUGUAGAGGAUGCUUUUGAUGCGGUGCCUUCCGAGUUCCCUGGAACGGGACGCCAUAGAGGGUGAGAGCCCCGUCUGGUUGGAUGCCAAAUCUCUGUAAAGCUCCUUCGACGAGUCGAGUAGUUUGGGAAUGCUGCUCUAAAUGGGAGGUAUAUGUCUUCUAAAGCUAAAUACCGGCCAGAGACCGAUAGCGCACAAGUAGAGUGAUCGAAAGAUGAAAAGCACUUUGAAAAGAGAGUUAAAAAGUACGUGAAAUUGUUGAAAGGGAAGCGUUUAUGACCAGACUUGGGCUUGGUUAAUCAUCUGGGGUUCUCCCCAGUGCACUUUUCCAGUCCAGGCCAGCAUCAGUUUUCGCCGGGGGAUAAAGGCUUCGGGAAUGUGGCUCUCUCCGGGGAGUGUUAUAGCCCGUUGCGUAAUACCCUGGCGGGGACUGAGGUUCGCGCAUCUGCAAGGAUGCUGGCGUAAUGGUCAUCAACGACCCGUCUUGA